rnacentral:tRNA from 1 species
GGGGGUAUUAGUAUAAUAAAGUACGUUUCUCUUUCUAAGAAAAGGUUAUUGUACCUCUU